rnacentral:lncRNA from 1 species
UUCGAGGUAGGAGUCGACUCCUGUGAGGUAUGGUGCUGGGUGCAGAUGCAGUGUGGCUCUGGAUAGCACCUUAUGGACAGUUGUGUCCCCAAGGAAGGAUGAGAAUAGCUACUGAAGUCCUAAAGAGCAAGCCUAACUCAAGCCAUUGGCACACAGGCAUUAGACAGAAAGCUGGAAGUUGAAAUGGUGGAGUCCAACUUGCCUGGACCAGCUUAAUGGUUCUGCUCCUGGUAACGUUUUUAUCCAUGGAUGACUUGCUUGGGUAAGGACAUGAAGACAGUUCCUGUCAUACCUUUUAAAGGUAUGGAGAGUCGGCUUGACUACACUGUGUGGAGCAAGUUUUAAAGAAGCAAAGGACUCAGAAUUCAUGAUUGAAGAAAUGCAGGCAGACCUGUUAUCCUAAACUAGGGUUUUUAAUGACCACAACAAGCAAGCAUGCAGCUUACUGCUUGAAAGACAGGGUCUUGCCUCACCCAAGCUAGAGUGCAGUGGCCUUUGAAGCUUACUACAGCCUCAAACUUCUGGGCUCAAGUGAUCCUCAGCCUCCCAGUGGUCUUUGUAGACUGCCUGAUGGAGUCUCAUGGCACAAGAAGA